CCUACGGGAGGCAGCAGUGGGGAAUCUUGCGCAAUGGGCGAAAGCCUGACGCAGCGACGCCGCGUGAGGGAUGAAGGUUUUCGGAUCGUAAACCUCUGUCAGCAGGGAAGAACGGUCACUGUGCUAAUCAGCAGUGAAUUGACGGUACCUGCAAAGGAAGCACCGGCUAACUCCGUGCCAGCAGCCGCGGUAAUACGGAGGGUGCGAGCGUUAAUCGGAAUUACUGGGCGUAAAGCGCUCGUAGGCGGUAUGUCAAGUCAAGGGUGAAAUCCCCGCGCUCAACGUGGGAACUGCCUUUGAAACUGGCAAACUGGAGUGUGUGAGAGGAUAGUGGAAGUCCAGGUGUAGGAGUGAAAUGCGUAGAUAUCUGGAGAAACAUCAGUGGCGAAGGCGACUAUCUGGCACAUAACUGACGCUGAGGAGCGAAAGCGUGGGUAGCAAACAGGAUUAGAUACCCCUGUAGUC
rnacentral:rRNA from 1 species